AAAGUACUCCCUCCGUCCCAAAAUUCUUGUCUUAGAUUUGUCAAGAUACGGAUGUAUGAAGUCACAUUUUAGUAUUAGAUACAUUCGUAUCUAGACAAAUCUAAGACAAGAAAUUUGGGACAGAGGGAGAGAAAG
rnacentral:pre_miRNA from 1 species